AACGAACGCUGGCGGCAGGCUUAACACAUGCAAGUCGAACGAUGUAGCAAUACAUAGUGGCGCACGGGUGAGUAACGCGUGGGAAUAUACCGAGAAGUGGGGAAUAACUCCGGGAAACUGGAGCUAAUACCGCAUACGCCCUACGGGGGAAAGAUUUAUCGCUUUUCGAUUAGCCCGCGUGAGAUUAGGUAGUUGGUGGGGUAAUGGCCUACCAAGCCGACGAUCUCUAGCUGGUCUGAGAGGAUGAUCAGCCACACUGGAACUGAGACACGGUCCAUACUCCUACGGGAGGCAGCAGUGGGGAAUAUUGGACAAUGGGCGAAAGCCUGAUCCAGCCAUGCCGCGUGAGUGAUGAAGGCUCUAGGGUUGUAAAGCUCUUUCGCCGAUGAAGAUAAUGACGGUAGUCGGAGAAGAAGCCCCGGCUAACUUCGUGCCAGCAGCCGCAGUAA
rnacentral:rRNA from 1 species